rfam:Schistosoma curassoni strain Dakar, Senegal genome assembly, scaffold: SCTD_scaffold0001243
AUCCAACUGACGAGUCGUGAAUAGGACGAAACAUGAGUCCUGGAU